rnacentral:rRNA from 1 species
GGAGUCUGGACCGUGUCUCAGUUCCAGUGUGGGGGACCUUCCUCUCAGAACCCCUAGACAUCGUCGGCACGGUGGGCCGUUACCCCGCCGUCUACCUAAUGUCUCGCGAGCCAAUCCGCAACCCCCGUAGGUUUAAACCAAAACGAUGCCGCCUCUGGUUGCCAUGGGGUAUUAGACGACGUUUCCAUCGCUUAUCCCCCUGUCGCGGGUAUGUUGCUCACGCGUUACGCACCCUUGCGCCGGUCGCCGCCAUCAGGUAUUGCUACCCAAAGCGCUGCCCCUCGACUUGCAUGUGUUAAGCCUGCCGCUAGCGUUCAUC